AAGUCAUAUGCUUGUCUUAAAGAUUAAGCCAUGCAUGUCUAAGUAUAAAUAGUAUACAGUGAAACUGCGAAUGGCUCAUUAAAACAGUUAUAGUUUAUUUGAUAAUGAAAUUACAUGGAUAACCGUGGUAAUUCUAGAGCUAAUACAUGCAUAAAAUCCCGACUUACGAAGGGGUGCAUUUAUUAGAUUUAACCAUCACUAGGUGAAUCAUAGUAACUUAUCUGAUCACGCGUCAGCGUGACAAAUCAUUCAAGUUUCUGACCUAUCAGCUUUCGAUGGUAGUGUAUUGGACUACCAUGGCAGUCACGGGUAACGGAGAAUUAGGGUUCGAUUCCGGAGAGGGAGCCUGAGAAACGGCUACCACAUCUAAGGAAGGCAGCAGGCGCGUAAAUUACCCAAUCCCGAUUCGGGGAGGUAGUGACAAGAAAUAACAACUCGGAUGGUUAUCCAUUUCGAGAUUGCAAUGAGAUAAAUCCAAAAACCUAAGCGAUUAUCAAUUGGAGGGCAAGUCUGGUGCCAGCAGCCGCGGUAAUUCCAGCUCCAAUAGCGUAUACUUAAGUUGUUGCAGUUAAAAAGCUCGUAGUUGAAAUUCGGUCAGCCUGGUCCUCACGGACAUCAAUGGCGGAUCUCCGCUUACAAUCUACUCGAGCUUUAAACCUUGAGUUGUAGAGUAGGCAGUUUACCUUGAAAAAAUUAGAGUGUUUCAGGCAGGUUUUCGCCGGAAUACAUUAGCAUGGAAUAAUGGAAUAGGACUUUAGCCU
rnacentral:rRNA from 1 species